rnacentral:misc_RNA from 1 species
GAUGAAGAACGCAGCGAAUUGCGAUAUGUAAUGUGAAUUGCAGAUUUUCAGUGAAUCAUCGAAUCUUUGAACGCACAUUGCGCCCGCUGGUAUUCCGGCGGGCAUGCCUGUUCGAGCGUCAUUUCAACCCUCAAGCCCCCGGGUUUGGUGUUGGGGAUCGGCUCUGCCCUUCUGGGCGGUGCCGCCCCCGAAAUACAUUGGCGGUCUCGCUGCAGCCUCCAUUGCGUAGUAGCUAACACCUCGCAACUGGAACGCGGCGCGGCCAUGCCGUAAAACCCCAACUUCUGAAUGUUGACCUCGGAUCAGGUAGGAAUACCCGCUGAACUUAAGCAUAUCAAUAAGCGGAGGA